rnacentral:misc_RNA from 1 species
UCUCCGUAGGUGAACCUGCGGAGGGAUCAUUCACAUGAUUACUUUCAAAAAACAAACUGUGAACUUUAUAAAUACUAUUCGUGUUGUGUUUGAUCUUAAUCGAUUUUCAUAACAUUGUCAUUCGUUGAACAUAAGAUAGUUGGCUUGUUUUGAUUAAUUUCAUUACUUUCUCAGCUUUGAUUUGAUAUUACUAAACAUUUUAUCUAUCAGCCAUAAACAUAGAAACAACUCUACGCCCUGGAUAUCUUGGUUCUC